rnacentral:precursor_RNA from 14 species
UUAUCUGAAAGAUGCAUGUCAGUCGCUGUGUGAUAUGUUUGUUAUUUGGUUGGUGAUGUUACCAAUCAACCAGUAUCAGACAUAUAUCCACAGAGACUGGACACAAACAACAUUGAUGC